UACGGAGGGGGCAAGCGUUGUUCGGAAUUACUGGGCGUAAAGGGCGCGUAGGCGGAUUGGUUAGUCAGAUGUGAAAUCCCCGAGCUUAACUUGGGAACUGCAUUUGAUACUGCUGAUCUAGAGUCCGGGAGAGGAUAGUGGAAUUCCCAGUGUAGAGGUGAAAUUCGUAGAUAUUGGGAAGAACACCAGUGGCGAAGGCGGCUAUCUGGACCGGUACUGACGCUGAGGCGCGAAAGCGUGGGGAGCAAAC
rnacentral:rRNA from 1 species